UACAGAGGUCCCGAGCGUUGUUCGGAAUUACUGGGCGUAAAGCGUGCGUAGUCGGUAUUGAGAGUCGCGGGUGAAAUCCCAGGGCUUAACCCUGGAACUGCCUGCGAGACCUCAGUACUAGAGUGUGAGAGGGGAUAGUGGAAUACCAAGUGUAGCGGUGAAAUGCGUAGAGAUUUGGUAGAACACCGGUGGCGAAGGCGGCUAUCUGGCUCACAACUGACGAUCAGGCACGAAAGCGUGGGGAGCAAACAGG
rnacentral:rRNA from 1 species